rnacentral:rRNA from 1 species
UACGUAGGGUGCGAGCGUUGUCCGGAAUUAUUGGGCGUAAAGAGCUCGUAGGCGGCUUGUCGCGUCGACUGUGAAAACCCGCGGCUCAACUGUGGGCUUGCAGUCGAUACUGGCGAGCUAGAGUACGGUAGAGGGCGGCGGAAUUCCGGGUGUAGCGGUGAAAUGCGUAGAUAUCCGGAGGAACACCGAUGGCGAAGGCAACCGCCUGGGCCUGUACUGACGCUGAGACACGAAAGCGUGGGGAGCAAACAGG